AAAUACAACAAUUGCAAAAUAAACACGUUCAUGACUCCCAAGUGUUAGAAGCCCAGAACCACCAGAUACGGCGAUUGCUUCAGGAAAAACGCAAAAUUAGAGAAAAGAUCAGAACCAUCACCGACUACAUUUCCAUGAAUUUCCAAGCGUGCGAGGACAUGACUCGUACCACCUUUUUCGAUACAGUGAUGACUUUCGUCUG
rnacentral:lncRNA from 1 species